rnacentral:rRNA from 1 species
UGAUCUAAAAUAAAAUUUAAUAAUAGAGAUUGAAGGGCCGCGGUAACUCUGACCGUGCUAAGGUAGCAUAAUCAAUCGCUCCUUAAUUGGGGGCUAGUAUGAAAGGAAUAACGAACUUCUCCCUGUCUCAAGUACAGGCCAGUUGAAAUUUAGUACUUCGUUAAGACGCGAAGAACCCUUGAUCAGACGAGAAGACCCCGUCGAGCUUUACUUUAAUCUAUUUUCAAACGUGUCUUAGUUUAAAGGCUAAAAAAAGAUAGGGAAAAAGUUUAGUUGGGGUGACUUCCCAAAACAUAGAAACUUGGGUGAACAAAGGUGUGAGUUAAAUCAACUAGCUUUACCGAGAAGAGGACACUCUGUUCGGUCACUAAGAACCGUGAGUUUUAGCUACCCGUCUUUUAUGGAAAGACGACAUCGAAUAAAAGCUACCGCG